AUUGAACGCUGGCGGCAUGCUUUACACAUGCAAGUCGAACGGUAACAGGCCGCAAGGUGCUGACGAGUGGCGAACGGGUGAGUAAUGCAUCGGAACGUGCCCAGUCGUGGGGGAUAACGCAGCGAAAGCUGCGCUAAUACCACAUACGAUCUAUGGAUGAAAGCGGGGGACCGUAAGGCCUCGCGCGAUUGGAGCGGCCGAUGUCAGAUUAGGUAGUUGGUGGGGUAAAGGCUCACCAAGCCAACGAUCUGUAGCUGGUCUGAGAGGACGACCAGCCACACUGGGACUGAGACACGGCCCAGACUCCUACGGGAGGCAGCAGUGGGGAAUUUUGGACAAUGGGCGCAAGCCUGAUCCAGCAAUGCCGCGUGCAGGAAGAAGGCCUUCGGGUUGUAAACUGCUUUUGUACGGAACGAAACGGUCCUGGUUAAUACCCGGGGCUAAUGACGGUACCGUAAGAAUAAGCACCGGCUAACUACGUGCCAGCAGCCGCCGCCGUAA
rnacentral:rRNA from 1 species